rnacentral:rRNA from 1 species
UCAAAACUUUCAACAACGGAUCUCUUGGUUCUGGCAUCGAUGAAGAACGCAGCAAAAUGCGAUAAGUAAUGUGAAUUGCAGAAUUCAGUGAAUCAUCGAAUCUUUGAACGCACAUUGCGCCCGCCAGUAUUCUGGCGGGCAUGCCUGUUCGAGCGUCAUU